rnacentral:miRNA from 1 species
AUUGCUGUGUGAGGAGUGCUG